CCCACUGUCCCUGUCUAC
rnacentral:snRNA from 1 species